GGCUCAAUGGUCUAGAGGUAUGAUUCCUGCUUUGGGUUGCAGACUCGUUAUCCGCGUUGCAGGAGGUCCCGGGUUCGAUCCCCGGUUGAGCCC
rnacentral:tRNA from 1 species